rnacentral:lncRNA from 1 species
CCCUAUUAUCUACUACUUUUUUUCUUUCAAUUUUUUUUUCAAGAAGAGUCUAGUGCAAUGUCUUAGCCUCUUGAGCGUUCUAGCUGACCCUUGUAACAAGCUUUCAGUCAAUGACUCUCAAAUCAAUUAGUUUUAGGAUAUUAGGUAUAGAACAUCCUUCGGACUUACUAACUCGAGUCUGAAAAAAGCUAUGAGGUGAGAUAGACUUUAUAACAGUCUCUUAGCAUCUCCACCUUUUGACAUGAACCACAAUGCUUACUUAGACGAAAGGGCCCGAUUACUCAGUGAGAUAAUGUUAAAUCUUUUUUUUAUGAAAUAUGAGGAACGUUUGCAUAUCUCAACCUUUCCACUACAUCCAUGAAGAGAUUCUUUAUUGAGAUUAGUAAGAAGAGGGUUCUAGAAUUACUCUAAAAUUUGGUCUGGUCUAAAUCCUACCAUUCAUUGGGCCUCCUUAAUAAUUUGUCUCUUGAUAUCUCUAAAAUUAUCUAGAUCGUUAAUCACUCAUUAAUUAAGUCACCUAAUUAACUUCUAAUCAAAAUAAAAUUUGGAUAUAUAUAGCUAAUUAUUUCUGAUCAUACUUGAGGAUUCACUUAACUUUAAGUUAGUUUAUUCUUCCCCCCAAACUUAAUUUUCAUUGUCCCCAAUGAAAGAAGAGAAAAAUUUAAAAAACAAUACAAAAAGAGGGAUACCACCUGAUUUACUAUUAUUUGUAGGUUCUUUCAUGUGUCCCCAUAGGCCCUCAUCGAAUGUUGAAGUUGGGCUCUCCUCCACCUUGGCUAAUCAUCCUUAUUAAAUUUUUAUAAAAUAAAAAAAUUAGAUAAAUAAAAUAAAAUAUCGGAUUGCCUCCCAACAAGUGCUAAAUUUAAGAUCUUCAGCCAGACCAAGCCAAAGUUCACGAUGGUUCAUAGAUUGAUUCAACCAAAUCCACAACUUCAAUUUGUUCUUCAUCCCUUAUGCCAUCCACAUAAUGCUUCAGUCUCUGCCCAUUAACUUUAAAAGUAUUUUUCUGCUUUGGAUCUUUAAGUUCUAUGGCUUCAUGAAAAAAAAUUUGGGUCACAAUAAAUGGUCCAUCCCAAUGCGAGCAAAGUUUACCAGGGAAAAGUCUCAACCUUGAAUUAAAGAGCCAUAAAAUUUGAUUUGGUUCAAACAUUUUUCUUGCAAUGAAUUUGUCAUGGUAAGCUUUGGUUCAAGCCUUAUAGAUUUUAGCAUUUUCGUAUGCCUCAUUACGUAGUUCUUCUAAUUCAUUCAAUUGAAGCCUCCUUUUAGAUCCCGCAUUUUUCAUAUCAAAGUUAAAUUUUCUUAUUGCCCAAUAUGCAUGGCGUUCCAAUUCUACCUGCAGAUGAUAAGAUUUUUCAAAAAUAAGCUGGUAAGGGGACAUUCCUAUAAGAAUCUUGUAAGCAGUACAAUAGACCCAUAGUGCAUCAUCUAAUCUCUCAGACCAAUCUUUUCGAUUGGACCUAACCAUUUUUUCUAAGAUCUUUUUAAUCUUCCUAUUGGAGACUUCCACCUGUCCAUUGGUCUGGGGAUG